GAUGAACGCUGGCGGCGUGCCUAAUACAUGCAAGUCGAGCGAAUGGAUUAAGAGCUUGCUCUUAUGAAGUUAGCGGCGGACGGGUGAGUAACACGUGGGUAACCUGCCCAUAAGACUGGGAUAACUCCGGGAAACCGGGGCUAAUACCGGAUAACAUUUUGAACCGCAUGGUUCGAAAUUGAAAGGCGGCUUCGGCUGUCACUUAUGGAUGGACCCGCGGCGCAUUAGCUAGUUGGUGAGGUAACGGCUCACCAAGGCAACGAUGCGUAGCCGACCUGGGAGGGGUGUCGGCCACACUGGGACUGAGACACGGCCCAGACUCCUACGGGAGGCAGCAGUAGGGAAUCUUCCGCAAUGGACGAAAGUCUGACGGAGCAACGCCGCGUGAGUGAUGAAGGCUUUCGGGUCGUAAAACUCUGUUGUUAGGGAAGAACAAGUGCUAGUUGAAUAAGCUGACACCUUGACGGUACCUAACCAGAAAGCCACGGCUAACUACGUGCCAGCCGCCGCAGUAA
rnacentral:rRNA from 1 species